rnacentral:rRNA from 1 species
UACGUAGGUCCCGAGCGUUGUCCGGAUUUAUUAGGCGUAAAGCGAGCGCAGGUGGUUUAUUAAGUCUGGUGUAAAAGGCAGUGGCUCAACCAUUGUAUGCAUUGGAAACUGGUAGACUUGAGUGCAGGAGAGGAGAGUGGAAUUCCAUGUGUAGCGGUGAAAUGCGUAGAUAUAUGGAGGAACACCGAUGGCGAAAGCGGCUCUCUGGCCUGUAACUGACACUGAGGCUCGAAAGCGUGGGGAGCAAACAGG